rnacentral:tRNA from 1 species
GCGCCCGUAGCUCAAUUGGAUAGAGCACAGGCCUACGAAGCCUGGGGUUAGAUGUUCGAGUCAUCUCGGGCGCG